ACUACAGGAUUUUCUUAGUAGCGGCGAGCGAAAAGAAAAUAGUUCAGCACUAAGUCACUUUGUCUUUAUGGCAAAUGUGAGAUGCAGUGUAUGGAAUGUCAAAUUUCUAGUAUGAGAAAUUAACGAUUUAAGUCCUUCUUAAAUGAGACCAUUUACCCAAAGAGGGUGCCAGGCCCGUAUAACGUUAAUGAUUACUAGAUGGCAUUUCCAAAGAGUCGUGUUGCUUGAUAGUGCAGCACUAAGUGGGUGGUAAACUCCAUCUAAAACUAAAUAUAACCAUGAGACCGAUAGUAAACAAGUACCGUGAGGGAAAGUUGAAAAGAACUCUGAAUAGAGAGUUAAAUAGUACGUGAAACUGCUUAGAGGUUAAGCCCGAUGAACCUGAAUAUCCGUUAUGGAAAAUUCAUCUUUAUGAUUUUAAUAUUUAUAAUAUUAUAAUAAUGGUGUGCAUUUUUUCUAUAAAGGACAUUGUAAUCUAUUAACAUAAAUAUAUUUAUCAUAAGAUCAUUUGCGUAAGUUUAUUCAAAUUAUUUUGCUUGCAUUUUAAUAUCGAAUAAAUGCUUUUGAUUUGAUAAAGUGUUGAUAGAUUUAUUAUAUAUAGUGCUUAAAUAUUUAUAUUUUAUAAUAGCAUAUUGAUCAUUGAUCUUUAUGUUUAUUAUAUGCACUUAUAUGAUUAACAAUGCGAAAGAUUCAGGAUACCUUCGGGACCCGUCUUGAAAC
rnacentral:rRNA from 1 species